AUACGUAGGGGGCGAGCGUUAUCCGGAAUUAUUGGGCGUAAAGAGUACGUAGGUGGUUGCGUAAGCGCAAGGUGAAAGACCGAGGCUUAACUUCGGUGAGCCUUGUGAACUGCGUGACUUGAGUGCAGGAGGGGAAAGUGGAAUUCCUAGUGUAGCGGGUAAAUGCGUAGAUAUUAGGAGGAACACCAGUGGCGAAGGCGACUUUCUGGACUGUAACUGACACUGAGGUACGAAAGCGUGGGGAGCAAACAGGAUUAGAUACCCUGGUAGUCCACGCCGUAAACGAUGAGCACUAGGUGUUGGCGUAGAAAUACGUCGGUGCCGAAGUUAACGCAUUAAGUGCUCCGCCUGGGGAGUACGCACGCAAGUGUGAAACUCAAAUGAAUUGACGGGG
rnacentral:rRNA from 1 species